rnacentral:rRNA from 1 species
UUGAUCCUGGCUCAGAAUCAACGCUGGCGGCGUGCCUAACACAUGCAAGUCGCACGAGAAAGGGUAGCAAUACCUGAGUACAGUGGCGCACGGGUGAGUUACACGUGAAUCAUCUACCUUCGAGUGGGGAAUAACUGGGAGAAAUCUCAUCUAAUACCGCAUAAUACCUGCGGGUCAAAGCAGCAAUGCGCUUGAAGAGUAGUUCGCGGCAGAUUAGUUAGUUGGCGGGGUAAUGGCCCACCAAGACGAUGAUCUGUAUCCGGCCUGAGAGGGCGCACGGACACACUGGAACUGAAACAUGGUCCAGACUCCUACGGGAGGCAGCAGUGGGGAAUUUUGCGCAAUGGGGUAAACCCUGACGCAGCAACGCCGCGUGGAGGAUGAAAUCCCUUGGGAUGUUAACUCCUUUCGAUCGGGACGAUUAUGACGGUACCGGAAGAAGAAGCCCCUGCUAACUUCGUGCCAGCAGCCGCGGUAAUAAGU